UACGUAGGGUGCAAGCGUUGUCCGGAGUUACUGGGCGUAAAGGGCGCGCAGGUGGCGGUGUUGGCCCGGCGUGAAAGCCCCCGGCUCAACCGGGGAGGGUCGUCGGGGACCGCACCGCUUGAGGGCGGUAGGGGCUGGUGGAAUGCCUGGUGUAGUGGUGAAAUGCGUAGAGAUCAGGCGGAACACCCGUAGCGAAGGCGGCCAGCUGGGCCGUCCCUGACACUGAGGCGCGAAGGCGUGGGGAGCGAACGGG
rnacentral:rRNA from 1 species